CCUACGGGGGACAGCAGUGAGGAAUAUUGGUCAAUGGGCGAGAGCCUGAACCAGCCAAGUCGCGUGAAGGAUGACGGCCCUACGGGUUGUAAACUUCUUUUGUCAGGGAGCAAUUGGGUCCACGCGUGGGCUUAGCGAGAGUACCUGAAGAAAAAGCAUCGGCUAACUCCGUGCCAGCAGCCGCGGUAAUACGGAGGAUGCGAGCGUUAUCCGGAUUUAUUGGGUUUAAAGGGAGCGUAGAUGGGUUGUUAAGUCAGUUGGGAAAGUUUGCGGCUCAACCGUAAAAUUGCAAUUGAUACUGGCAGUCGUGAGUACAGUAGAGGUAGGCGGAAUUCGUGGUGUAGCGGUGAAAUGCUUAGAUAUCACGAAGAACUCCGAUUGCGAAGGCAGCUUACUAAACUGCCACUGACAUUGAUGCUCGAAAGUGUGGGUAGCAAACAGGAUUAGAUACCCUGGUAGUC
rnacentral:rRNA from 1 species